rnacentral:rRNA from 1 species
AAGGGGGAAAAGAAACCAACAGGGAUUGCCCUAGUAACGGCGAGUGAAGCGGCAACAGCUCAAAUUUGAAAGCUAGCCUUCGGGUUCGCAUUGUAAUUUGUAGAGGAUGAUUUGGGGAAGCCGCCUGUCUAAGUUCCUUGGAACAGGACGUCAUAGAGGGUGAGAAUCCCGUAUGUGACAGGAAAUGGCACCCUAUGUAAAUCUCCUUCGACGAGUCGAGUUGUUUGGGAAUGCAGCUCUAAAUGGGAGGUAAAUUUCUUCUAAAGCUAAAUAUUGGCGAGAGACCGAUAGCGCACAAGUAGAGUGAUCGAAAGAUGAAAAGCACUUUGGAAAGAGAGUUAAAAAGCACGUGAAAUUGUUGAAAGGGAAGCGCUUGCAAUCAGACUUGUUUAAACUGUUCGGCCGGUCUUCUGACCGGUUUACUCAGUUUGGACAGGCCAGCAUCAGUUUCGGCGGCCGGAUAAAGGCUCUGGGAAUGUGGCCUCCACUUCGGUGGAGGUGUUAUAGCCCAGGGUGUAAUACGGCCAGCCGGGACUGAGGUCCGCGCUUCGGCUAGGAUGCUGGCGUAAUGGUUGUAAGCGACCCGUCAAAAA